rnacentral:tRNA from 3 species
GGCGGUGUAGCUCAGUUGGUAAGAGCAUGCGGCUCAUAUCCGCAGGGUCGGGGGUUCAAAUCCCUCCACCGCCACCA